rnacentral:piRNA from 1 species
CUCGGGAAGCAGAGGCAGGUGGG